CCCUUAGAUGUUCUGGGCAGCACGCGCGCUACAAUGGUCUUCGCAAACGGAUGCAUUCUCGAAGGAGAAUGCCAAUCUUGGAAUCUAUGCCUUGGUCGGGACAGUUGCUUGCAAUUUUUCGCCUCGAACCAGGAAUUCCUUGUAAUCGUGAUUCAUCACAUCACGAUGAAUACGUCCCUGCCCUUUGUACACACCGCCCGUCGCUCCUACCGAUCGAAGAGUUAGGUGAAUUGUUUUGAUCGAUAAGAUUUGACUAUGGUCAACUCUCGUUGUGAAAUUCUGUGAAUCUGACUGUUUAGAGGAAGGAAAAGUCGUAACA
rnacentral:rRNA from 1 species